GAAGCAGCCUGCCACCAUCUUGGAAGUGGCUCACCACCGUCUUGGGAGUUCUGUGAACAAGGACCCCUGGUAACAUUUUGGCGACCACGAAGGGACAUCCAAAGCUCUUAACUAAUGCUUGUGAUGUUUAACGCCUGUCUUUUCAACUUGGUCUACUGAGUCUUCAAUACUGGUGACUGAGCUGCUUGAAGUGAACUCUGGACAAGGUGGAGAGCAUCUUCUUGAUUUAAGAUUCACAGUUUCUGAAAGGACCAUGGACUAAUUGGAUCACAAGCAAACUGAAACAUUACAGGGUAAAUAUUAUUGUGAUUAGGAUUAUACAAAAACACCAUGAUGCCUCUCCCAACUUAGGGAAAUCAGUGAAGGUUUUCUUGAAGAAAAGUGUUAUGAACCAUUAGAAUAUUUGGGUAAAAGGACCAGACUGCCAGUACAGCCAACUGCUGUAAUAUGAAUGUUUUUCUUAUGUGGCUUAGUGAUUUUCUUUUUUAAAAGUGGAUAAUGAUCUGGAGAUAUUUUUAAACAAAUAAAUUGAACGCUAGGUUUUGAAGAGCUCUCUGGCAGCGCUAUAGAGAUUGGAUUGAGUUUGGAGGUACAUUAGAUUCACGAAGGCUAAUUAAAUGGCUCUGGCCAUAAUCCAGGGUUGAUAUGAAAAAGCUCUUAACAAAAGAAUUGGGGGUAGAGGUAAUAGGAAAUAUGAAGCAGUUUUGAGAGGUAUUUAAUAUAUUGAUGUGACCAAGUCGAAUGACUUGUUAAGAUAUCAUAAAUGAGAAUAUAAGAAGAGUCUAAGCAUUUUUUACACCAUAAAAUACAAACAAAAUAAUAAUAUUUCAAAACAUUUUGGAAUAUACAGAUAAACUUACAUUUAAUGAGAGAUAAUCAUCUGACAAAAGGGCAGAGAUGAACAAUAUCAAUCUAUACCUGCAACCAAUUUGGGACACACUAUAAUGGAAACCUCUCAAGAUUACUUCUGGGCUUCUGCUUAUGUAAGUAAGUGGAUUAAAGAUAGUACCUUCAAGUGCAUGUUUUGAGGACAGUAACAACUAAUGAGUAAAGUUUUGGACAAGUUAAAUAAAUCAAAGUACAGAUAUCCUGCAUGUUAUUACAAGUUUUGUUCUACAUUUCAGAAGACAGCAGUAGGAGAAGAGAGAGAUUUGAGGUUAUCAACAUUUAGGUAUUGGCAAAAAGCCAUGAGUCUCCUUAAGAUAACAAAGGAAAUAAGCGAAUUGAGUAGGUCAGUGAAAGAACCUAGAAAGCACUAAAGUUUCAGUGGUCAAAUUGAGAUGAGGAUCUAAGAAAGAAUACAAUCAAUAAACAUAAAAAGAAGUUAGAGGAGACCAGACAUUUUAUUAGACAAAUUAGAUAAAACAUGGAUGGUCACCAAUAGUAAAUGCUUCAGAAAAAUGAGGUAAUACAGAGCAACAACAAUAACUACCAUCACCACAACAACUAUUGAAAUCGGAAACUGAAAAUUCCUUGGUAACACUGGGAAGAACAGUGCUAGCUGGGUAAUAGGCAAGGUACUAAAAAAUUAAAUAAAUAUAAGAUUGGAGAUUAUAGACCAUAGGCUACUCUUUUAAGAACUUAUACGAUUUGGAGGAAAAGACAAAUACUUCAGUAGCUACACAAGAUGCAUUAUGAUAAGAUGACAGUACUUAUAUUUAUAUCUAAGUUCUACUGUAUUUAAAAAAGGGAGGUGUGGGCAAGAAUAAUUAGACAGGGAAAAAAAUGACAAUGAAGUUGAAGACAAGACAACUGAUGGAAUAAGACUCCCAUUGGGAAGAAGGUAUGUGUUUCAGAUUUUUUUAAAUGGAGAAAUUAUACUUCAGAAUAACAAAAACACCUUCAUUUAAGAUAGAAGGUUAAGGGGAAAGUGGUAUUACAAUGCAGAUAAUUUUCUAGUUUGAAAGGGUAAAAUAUUGAUGGAGUCUAUAUCUCAUUAAAGCUAUUUAAUUGUAAAUAAGGAUAUCUGCUGUGUAAAAUGUAGUCUCUGAAGUGCAGGCUUUGAGAAUCAAGGAGGGUUUUGAUUAAAGGAUAUUGAAUUGCUGUGUAAAAUUGAAAUUUUUUGUGAAUUUAGAGCUAUUGUCACAUGGUUUUGUCUCAUUAAAUUCAGAAGUAAGAUUGGGAAAAGCAAUAGGUUGAUUAAAACAAUAUGCAGGCUUAGGGAGUUGAAGAGGCAGACAACCAAGGAAUAAAGUGUUAAUGUUUGGGUGACAGAAUACUGUAAAUAAUAAAUAAAAAAAAUUACUACUGGGAAGAGAUUGUUUAGAAUAAAUAUAAUGAAAAAUAUGUUCUGAAAAUUAUAA
rnacentral:lncRNA from 1 species